GUUUUUUUUUUUUUUUUUUUUUUUUUUUUUUGGUGCUGGGAAUCAAACUCACGACCUUGUGCUUGCCAGGUGAAGGAUCGACUGGCGACGACUGGCCAGAAGACUGUGGUGUCGUUCCAAAAUCAGAUGAAUAGUAACAGGAAUGACGUUUGCCUGUUUUACUUUCUUGAUCGCUAUCUGAACUUCUUGCUCUUUCCCCCAUUAUUUUGAAAAAUUAUCUCUAUUCACAUAAUUUCACACAUUCAUGACAAUACUGAAGAGCAUUUUCCUAGUCUUCAUAUAUUGGUGAUAAUAUUUAUUUCUGCACAAUUUAUUUCUCCACAAAAGAUCUGUAGUCCACAAUUCAUAUCAACCAAUGGAAGAUCCACUUUAUUUUCUAUAAUUAAGGAAAGCAGGAGGGAGGACUUAUCAUAUAAUCAUGAAACAAAAUUCUACAAUGAGCUAUAAUUAAAAAUACCAAAAGCUAAAUAAUGAACAACUUAAAUUUUUAAGAAUAGGCUAUAAUUUAUCUAUAUUUUUAUACAUAAAUUAAUACAAUUUAGGAGAAAAGACAGUUUCUAUCAUGACCUCUUAAGAGGAUAACAUGGGAAGUACCUGACAUAUAACUACUUCUGAAUGUUAACUAAUCUUGAAUCGUAAGAGUUACAAUACACGCAAAUGCCAAAUUUUAACAGGAUAAUAACAAUCAAGUUGCUAGAUUUUUUUAUGGUGGGAAAAGGUAAAAGUAAUGGUGGUGAUAGGGAAUAAUGUUCUGGUAAGAACAAAGGAAAAAAAUACCUCGGAUUGACUACAAAAAUGUAAAACUAAAGAAUUCUAAAAAUGAAAGGAAAACAUUUGCAAAUGUCUGCAAAUAAAGACAUUUGCAGACAUGAGAGAAUACUGAUGAUCAUCCUGAACAAGUAUGUCACACCAUCCCACAAGAAAAACAUGAAAUGAAAACUUAAAUACCUGAUAAGACCUCAAAAAGGCAAUGUAAAUGACAGACUCAUAUAAAUAUUAAACCUCAGGUACAUUUUAACACUAUCAUGGUAUCAGCAAGAAAGCUAUCAGAUGCACUGAUGGAGUGUCAAAGGGUUCAGGUGCCAAGUGAAGGAGAUCCUGCUAGUCAAGGACAGACAAUCCCAUCUACAUCAGCAAAAGAUAACAUGUAUCCAACAUAUUUAAAUCUACAAAUGCACGUUUUUUGUUUUUUGUCUUUUUUUUAAAGCAACUAGUGCUCUUUGUAGAUGCUAGGGAACCAACUCAAUAAUUUGAAACUGAACAUAAAGAGGAAACAUCAGGUAUGUAUUACCUGAUUAGGUAUGUAAUACCUAUAGCAGUAUUAACCAUACUGCUAUAAGCUCUAUCAACAAAAUUGAGAUGAAAGUAUAUAUUUCUUUAUAAAAUUACUUUAGGUGAUAAAUGAAAUAUUAAAAUGAAAGAAUUUGAAUAUUGAAAACAUUAAUGAAAUCAUGAAGCUACAUAAUGAUCACUAAUGGCUGUAACACCACAAAAAAGAACCAGGUAUUAUUGUGCCUCCUGAUAGGACACAAUAUCUCUGAAGUAAUAUGCCCUCCUCCCCAAAAAUAAAUCUAAAUCUGAUCAAGCCUCUAAAUAUAAACGUCAAUUUAAAGAAUAUAUGAAGGGCAGAGAUACAAUAUAAGAAAGUUAUCAGCAAAAUGCAGACUGAGGCAAGGCAAAUGCUAUAAGAAAAACACUGCUUUAAAAAAUAAAUCCUAAGUAGAACAAAAGAGAAACAGGAUGCCUAUAAUAUUAAGAAGUCUUAACAAAAAAAAAUUGCAGCCUAUGAACCUUAUUUGAUUCUGAUUCAAACAAAUUACAUUAAAAAUCGAGAUAGUCAAGAAAAUUUAAGCAGUGACUGGAUACUUUAUAUUAAGGAAUUACCACUGCUUUUGGCAAGGCAAUAAUAUGUGGUUUAUUUUCUGUUAAAAGUGUUUGUCCAUUAAGCAUAUUUACUCAUAUACAGAUAAAAUUAAACAAUGCCUGAACUUUGUUUUUUUCUAAGUAAACCAAGAUAACUCAGGUAGAAGGAAGGACAGAUGAAAGAAGAAAGGCUAUGAGUUGACAACAUUGUAAACUGGGUAAUGACUAAAGGCUUCAUUACUCUGAUAUGUCUCAUAUUGAUUUGAUAUUUUUCUGAGUAAAAAAGACAUUUCUUAGCUGCACAUGACGGCAUACACCUGCAGUCCCACACUCUGGGAGGCUAAAGCAGGAAGCUCAUAAAUUCAAACCCAGCCUGAGCAACUUAAUGUAUUAGUUAAGAUUCUCAAAAAAUUUAAAUACACACACACACACACACACACACACACACAAACAUUUGGCUGGGGAUACAACAAAGCACUGGGUUUGAUCUCCCCUGCCAAAGAAAAAAACUAUAAUGGCAAACAAAACAAAACAAAACAAAAAAACCCCCCAAACUUGCACAUGCUGUACACUUCUACUACUGAGCUACAUCACCAGCUGAAACUCAGAACUCUGAUCUUGACUUCUGACGUAGUAAUGUCUAGCAAUCUGACUAUUAAAAUUUGCUAAUGGAUCUGAAGUCAGCAAUUUUAAUGGCCAGUGGAAUAUUUUAACUACUAUACUAAUAUUUUAAAAGUAAAUAUAAAUCAGCCUGAAUCUUCCACUAUAAUCACAAAAGAUAAUACUUACAAAUGAAAAAAUGUAGAGACUAAAGGACAAUAGAAAGAGCAAGUAAGUCUUGCUCCACCACACAUUAACUGUGGAAAUCUGAAGUUUACUCAACCUUGCAAUCUGAAUCUCUAUCUCACUGUUUUUAUAUCUGUAAACAGAACUGUCAAUAUCCUAGGGAACUAUCAACUACCUUAGGGAAUUAUUGUGAGGAUUAAAUGGGACAACUUGAUAACUAUCACACAAUUAAGUUAAAAGGUGGUUACACGGUAAAGAUGAAGAUUCCUUCUGGUUACAUCUGCAUGAGAGAAGUAACUUCCUGGGACCCAUGGCGUCUAGUCAGAGAUGUCAAUCUACUGAUGAUGGCGAAGGGAAAGAAGCCAAACAGCACUGUCUCUCCUCCUCCCAAAUGUAUCUACAAACAAAAUUACCUACCGUGCUAUCCACCACCAGGUCCUCCUCUGUAAGAGAAGCAUUUUAGUGGCAUGUACCUUUAGGGUCACAGUAAUUCCCCUUUGUCUAUAAUGUUUGUUUUGCAUGGUUUCAGUUAUCUACGGUCAACUAGACCUGAAAAUACUAAAUGAAAGAUUCCAAAAAUAAACAAUUGAUAAGUUCUAAA